GACGUAGGGCGCGAGCGUUGUCCGGAUUUAUUGGGCGUAAAGAGCUCGUAGGCGGCUUGUCGCGUCGACUGUGAAAACCCGCGGCUCAACCGUGUGGUCUGCAGUCGAUACGGGCAGGCUAGAGUUCGGUAGGGGAGACUGGAAUUCCUGGUGUAGCGGUGAAAUGCGCAGAUAUCAGGAGGAACACCGGUGGCGAAGGCGGCAUCCUGGACCAUUACUGACGCUGAGGCGCGAAAGCUAGGGGAGCAAACGGG
rnacentral:rRNA from 1 species